AGCAGUGCUGUCAGAUGGGAAUAAACGCAAGCCACGAUGUGACUUCAGAUAUUCCGGCAGCCACAUUAAGAGAGGGAUGGACAUUGUGUCUCACUGGGGAACGUCUCCUCUGGCUGAUAUUGUAAAACAGAAGGCACAUAAGCCUGCCCUUCAGGCAAUGUUAAUUAAACAUGUUAAAGGGGGUCAGCAGGGUUGCCUGAGCCCACAGAGUGUGAGGUAGUAACUGGAGGCUGAUAUUCCGGAGCUAAUAAGAAGGAUAAUGGAAGCACCCCCACAAGUCAAAGCCACCCUUUUCCUAAAGCCCUGCAAACUGAAGCUGAACAACUUGGUAUACACUUGAGAGAGUCCCACAACAACCCAUGUUUCACAGCAUCAUCUUCAUGCCUGUUGCUGUAUAACCCACCCAGAAUGUUACCUGAACACCUGAUCACAUCAUCAAAGACAUUUCAAACUGCAAAAGACACUUUGACUCUAACAUCUAAAAAUCUUCUUGACUGGCUGCUCCUUGGGCUCAGAAACUAGUUUAUAACCUGUUCCAACCGUUAACCUUUAUUUCUGUUUUGUUUCAUAGAAAUGCCUAUUAUUAAAUACCUGAUUGCUUGCUAACACAAUAUAGGCCUAAGUUUGGGAGCCUACCCGCAUCACUGCCUACUGAAAUGAUUUUAACCGGACUGACCUAUUGUCAGGACUAAGAGACUGGUUCAAUGAGAUGGAACAAUCUGCCAACUCAGCUUUCGGACUGCGAACUUCUUGGAGAGGUUUCAAAAUUUGGACUGUAGGCAAGCAGAAUUUGCCACCCCAAAAUGUGUUUAUUAGGCUUGAUUAUUUAUGAGAACAAAAGACUCAGGAAGAAUUCCUGCCUAACUGCCUAAAAGAAUUUCAGAUAGAAGGCCUGUUCCAGAAAGGAGUCAUCACCACAGAUAACUAUAGUAUAAUAUGAACUAGGUGUGAUAGACAGGGAGGAACCCAGCAAGUCUUCUUUGAUCAAAGCCCUCCUCAUGUCCCAUUGUUUCUGCAAGGCAUGGCAAACAUUUGUUUACCAAACAUUUGCUUAUCCAUCUCCAUGUGAAUUUCCUUCCUCUCCUUUGAAGUCCCAAACCACCACCCCUAACAUCCUCUUUUGUUUUCAGCUGGAGAUGGUGACUUUGGCC
rnacentral:lncRNA from 1 species